rnacentral:lncRNA from 1 species
UCUCACCCUUAUACCGGUCUUAGAUAUUCAUUCUUCCCGAGCAUGUUGUAUCUCACCCUCAUACCGACGAUCAGAUCACAUGUCUCCUUGAGCUUAUUACCCAGUAACCGGUAAUACCUCGUCCCACUGCUUCCCCAGGAGUGUCCUUUUAGGCAUCCCCAGCGAAGUCCCUUAGUGGAUUGUUUUCAUCCAGAUUUUUAU